AACGAACGCUGGCGGCAGGCUUAACACAUGCAAGUCGAACGCCCCGCAAGGGGAGUGGCAGACGGGUGAGUAACGCGUGGGAAUCUACCUAGUUCUACGGAACAACAGUUGGAAACGACUGCUAAUACCGUAUACGCCCUAUGGGGGAAAGAUUUAUCGGAAUUAGAUGAGCCCGCGUAAGAUUAGCUAGUUGGUGAGGUAAUGGCUCACCAAGGCGACGAUCUUUAGCUGGUCUGAGGGGAGGAUCAGCCACACUGGGACUGAGACACGGCCCAAGCUCCUACGGAAUGCAGCAGUGGGGAAUAUUGGACAAUGGGCGCAAGCCUGAUCCAGCCAUGCCGCGUGAGUGACGAAGGCCUUACGGUUGUAAAGCUCUUUUGGCGGGGAAGAUAAUGACGGUACCCACAGAAUAAGCUCCGGCUAACUUCGUGCCAGCCGCCGCAGUAAAAC
rnacentral:rRNA from 1 species